rnacentral:lncRNA from 1 species
CAGAGAUUCUGAUUCAUCGCAGAAGUGUCGAGGGUAGUGGAGAAGAAAUUUUCUGGAUGAAACAUGGAGGGAAGAUCAAGUCACUUUCAGGCAGAGGGUGCAGCUAGUACAGGCAGGGGGCUGUGAGGGGAACAGCGUGCUCAGGGACAGACAGCAGCCUGGAGUGGCAGGCCUCUGAGCUGAGAAGCAGGCUGGGGCUUUGAAUGCCAUACCAAGGGUUUGGACUUGAUCCCAUAAUGCUUGCCUUGCCUACCCCCAAAGGUUUGCUUUCAUGGUCAAAGCAAUGCUGGUUGAGAAUGUUCCUAAAAAUUAGGGAUCCUAUGAUACUUGGUUGUAAAUACUACUUUGCCAUAGUUUAGAGCAAUGGUCCCCAACCUUUUUGGCACCGGGGACCAGUUUCGUGGAAGACAAUUUUUCCACAGGAAAGGGUUGGGGAACAUGGUUUUGGGGUGAAACUGUUCCACCACAGAUCAUCAGAUAUUAGGUUCUCAUAAGGAAUACACAACCUAGAUCCCUCAUAUGUGC